GACAGUUCUAUCACAUAAAGAAGAAGGAGCAGAGUUUUUAAGAUAGUUAAUGACCUCCCCUCUUUUCUGAUGACAGGAAUUGCAGGAAGCAGAGCUUCUUGGGAGAAAAUAAUGUCACUAGGAACUCAAUUUGACUCGGUUGAUUCUACACUUGUGGUCCUGAGAGCCGGAAGAGAUGCUGUGGAAAGAAGCACUGAAUUAUGGACACAGCAUGGGACAUCUGCCACAGGGAAAAUGGCCCAGAUCUGACACUUCCUUUCAUGAGAUCAUGGUAUACGUGAUUCCUGCGACAGGAUGCAAAUCCAGGAGAAAAUAAUUAAGACUUUCAAUGGACUAAGUGUGCAAAGAAGACUGAGUACCUAAAGUCUUCGAUGUAACAUUUAGUUGACAAUCAUCACAUUAUUAUUGAAUGAAAUGAAAUAAAACAUACUUUGAAGGAAAUGUUCUCA
rnacentral:lncRNA from 1 species